rnacentral:rRNA from 1 species
UACGUAGGGGGCGAGCGUUGUCCGGAAUCAUUGGGCGUAAAGCGCGUGUAGGCGGCCCGGUAAGUCCGCUGUGAAAGUCCAGGGCUCAACCCUGGGAUGCCGGUGGAUACUGUCGGGCUCGAGUCCGGAAGAGGCGAGUGGAAUUCCUGGUGUAGCGGUGAAAUGCGCAGAUAUCUGGAGGAACACCAAUGGCGAAGGCAGCUCGCUGGGACGUGACUGACGCUGAGACGCGAAAGCGUGGGGAGCAAACAGG